rnacentral:lncRNA from 1 species
CUGCAAUUGUGGCGCAUACAGAAAGGCAGCUCUGAUCAGGCAGUUCUCAUAGCCGGGAUUCUUAAAGGUCCUUCCCAGGCUUGGCUAAGUGGAGCAGUUGGGUAGGAUACUGAGCCCAGGGACAGCAGCCAUAAGAGAGUAGGACACGCCUUUCAUCCACCUGAAGGAGCGGGUUGAUGAGAAGCAGGUGAAUCUGUCUGAAGCCUAAGGACUACAAGCAGGGCUAGCAGCAGAUGAACUCAAGAGGCCAGUGGAGGAGGAGGACUGCCUUGAAAUUAGCCUGGGUUAUACGGAUAGUAUCAGGCCAACCUGAACUACUCCUGAUCAUCAAGUGUGUGCCACCAUGUUCAACUGAAUUUUGUUUUUGCUUUUGAGACAAGAUAUGUAGCCCAGGCUUGCCUAGAACUUACUGUGAAACCCAGUCUGGCUUUGUCUUUUAUGUAUUUUGGCGUUUUGUCUUCAUGGAUGUCUGCACACCACUACUGGGCAGUGGUGGCACACGCCUUUAAUCCCAGAACUCGGGAGGCAGAGGUGGGCAGAUCUCUGUGAGUUUGAGACCAGCCUAGUCUACAAAGCAAGUCCCAGGAAAGCCUGGCUGUUACACGGAGAAACCCUGUCUCAAAAAUAAGAACAAAACAAAAAAACAAGCAAACAAAAGAAGAGUGUAUUGGGUUCUAUGAGACAACAGUUAUAGAUGGUUGUGAGAGACCAUGUGGGUGCUGGGGAUUGAAAUCAGGACCUGUGGAAGAGUAUCCAGGGCUCUUAACCACAAAGACACCUCUUCAGCCCCCAGGCUGUCUUUGAACUCACAGUAACCCUCCUCCCUCAGCCUACUGAGUACUAGGACUAUAUGUGCUACCAGGCUUAUCUCAUAUUCUUUUAAUCGUUUAAUAAUGAGAAAUAAUAUAUUUAUAAUGAAAUCUAUUAAAUGUUAAAACAUACAGAAAC